rnacentral:rRNA from 1 species
AGUGAACGCUGGCGGUAGGCCUAACACAUGCAAGUCGAACGGCAGCACAGUAAGAGCUUGCUCUUACGGGUGGCGAGUGGCGGACGGGUGAGGAAUACAUCGGAAUCUACUUUUUCGUGGGGGAUAACGUAGGGAAACUUACGCUAAUACCGCAUACGACCUACGGGGGAAAGCAGGGGAUCUUCGGACCUUGCGCGAUUGAAUGAGCCGAUGUCGGAUUAGCUAGUUGGCGGGGUAAAGGCCAACCAAGGCGACGAUCCGUAGCUGGUCUGAGAGGAUGAUCAGCCACACUGGAACUGAGACACGGUCCAGACUCCUACGGGAGGCAGCAGUGGGGAAUAUUGGACAAUGGGCGCAAGCCUGAUCCAGCCAUACCGCGUGGGUGAAGAAGGCCUUCGGGUUGUAAAGCCCUUUUGUUGGGAAAGAAAAGCAGCAGGUUAAUACCCCGCUGUUCUGACGGUACCCAAAGAAUAAGCACCGGCUAACUUCGUG